UUCUCCUCUAUUUAUUAUUUUGAUAAACUUGAGUAUAAAAAUAUUUUUAGAUACUUUUCGUUUACAUUUAUCUUGGUCAUUAUGUGAUUGGUUUUGGUAUAUAUUACCCAAAAACUGAUGUGCUAAUGUCAUUCCAUUAUAACUACUUCAGGUGAUAAAUCCAUGAUCAAGAGGAGAUACAUGUAUCUAACAGAAGAAAUUUUGAAAGAAAAUCCUAGUGUUUGUGAAUACAUGGCCCCUUCAUUGGAUGCUAGGCAAGACAUGGUGGUGGUAGAGGUACCUAGACUAGGAAAGGAGGCUGCAGUGAAGGCUAUAAAAGAAUGGGGUCAACCAAAGUCAAAGAUUACUCACUUAAUCGUUUGCACCACAAGUGGUGUAGACAUGCCCGAAGCUGAUUAUCAACUCACCAAACUCUUGGGUCUUCGCCCAUAUGUGAAAAGGUACAUGAUGUACCAACAAGGGUGUUUUGCAGGUGGCACGGUGCUUCGUUUGGCCAAAGAUCUAGCUGAGAACAACAAAGGUGCUCGUGUGUUGGUUGUAUGUUCAGAGGUCACCGCUGUCACAUUUCGUGGCCCUAGUGAUACUCACUUGGACAGUCUUGUUGGACAAGCACUAUUUGGAGAUGGAGCUGCUGCUCUUAUUGUUGGCUCUGACCCCGUACCAGAAAUUGAGAAACCUAUAUUUGAGAUGGUUUGGACUGCACAAACAAUUGCUCCUGAUAGUGAAGGAGCCAUUGAUGGUCACCUUCGUGAAGCUGGACUAACAUUUCACCUUCUUAAAGAUGUUCCUGGGAUUGUUUCAAAGAACAUUACUAAAGCAUUGGUUGACGCUUUUGAGCCACUGGGAAUUUCUGAUUACAACUCAAUCUUUUGGAUUGCACAUCCCGGUGGACCUGCAAUUCUAGAUCAAGUAGAGCAAAAGUUAUCAUUGAAGCCUGAAAAGAUGAAUGCAACUAGAGAAGUGCUCAGUGAAUAUGGAAAUAUGUCAAGUGCAUGUGUUUUGUUUAUCUUAGAUGAAAUGAGAAAGAAAUCAACUAAAGAUGGGUUGAAGACAACUGGAGAAGGACUUGAAUGGGGUGUGUUAUUUGGUUUUGGACCAGGACUUACAAUUGAAACGGUUGUUUUGCGCAGUGUCGCUAUAUGAGAUGCUUAAUUAUUUUGUUUUCAUGUAUCAAUUUUCAAUUUGUUUAAUUUUUACGUAAGGAUGAAAUUUCAUCUAGUGUUCAACAUGUACCCUCAUAUUAAAUAAUACACUUGUGAUUCACUUUAUAUUUUUACAAUAGUUAUUUAUUUGACUAAAACUCUGUUUGGUAAAAAUAGCGUCUAACCAAUUAUGAAAGUCACAAUAAUGCCUCUUGAUUUCCUCGGAAAAUCUUACAGCCCACCAUUAAGGAAGAAAAGAAUAAUUAGGAUCUAAUUAUUUUAGCUUUAAACUCAAUCCCCAAAUGGCCUAACCCUAAUUCCCUUAGGACUUGUUUUAUUCAAUUUCUUAAAACUAUACAUACUUUAAUUAACUUAUGAUACAUGCAAAAAUAUUUCCAUAAAAUUUCUAAAAUAAACGAAAAAUAAUUGAAAUUUCCUCUAAGUUCUAUUUAAGAAAAUUUCACCAGAGUUUUUCAUGUUUUUACAAGUGUCCAGAAAAAGGUUUUCAAAUUUUUUUCUCAAAAUUAAACGUAGACGUAAUUUUAACUGAAGUCGUUUCCAUUGCUAAAUUGGUGCCAAAAAUUCAGAUAUUCUCGAAACUCAUUGGGAAUUUUUUUUUUCUCUUUAAAACAUCACACACCUAAUCAUAUGGAAAAAAUAAAUUUGCCAUCAAAUUGCAAGUUUAUCCUUUCACUUGAAAAUUUUCUUCUUUUACAAUUUUAUUUGCACACACAUAAACAUACAUAACAAAAUCACUAUUUUUGUAAAAUUCAUAAUUCAAUGAAUUUGUGUUCGAAUACCAUGAAUCAUAGGUCCAUUUUAAAGGUUUCAACAAAGGAAAUUUGAAAGAAAAAAAAAAUCCUCCUACCAAAGACAUAGGCUUCACGACCAAAAUAAAAAGGAAGGAAAAAAAAAAUUUGAGUUCAAAGUUCAUAUUCCUAAAUACAAGAAAACAAUCAUGGUGAAUCAAAUAAUCAAGAUCAAACAAAAUUCUCCAAUGAAUAAAAUCAAGUUCAAGUCUCAUUUUUCUUCAAAAGUUGUCAAAAUAAAUGUUUUGACAAGAAAAAUUUGAAGUUUUGACGAACAUCAAAAUAACAACUUAUCAAAAAUUAAACUUUUUACAUAAGUAUGAUCACAAUCUCUUGAUCUAUCAUCUAAAAUAAGUAAAAUUUGAAAAUCAAACUCUUUCAACAAAAAAGAAAUCAAACUUGAAAAGUCAUUUUAACUUAGAAUAUUUUCACCACUUCAUCAAAAUCUAUUUUUCUAGCAAAACCACUAAGAGGUUUUUCCUUCACAAACCAUAAAAUAAAUUUAUCAUAAACUUUAAAAUAAUAACUUUCGUAAAAUUUAGAACUUUUCUAUAAAUCUAUGAUCACUGCGUAUAGAUCUAUCAUUUUAUCAAAGUAAAACUUUGAAAACUCUACCUUAGCCUCACAAAAUUAAUUUGCUCCUAACACACUCUAUUCACAAUAUCAAUCUCACAUUUUAGCAUGUACUCUAUUUCUUCCACCCCAAGGCACCAUUUCCUUGCUUAAUUUGCUCGCGGAUGAAUUUUACGGUAGUUGUAACUUCCGUGAUAAAUUACCGAUAAAAUUUCUUCAUCCUUUUUGUGUAUAAAAUUUUAUUCAACCAUUUUUUUUUAUCUUUCAAAAAUUAUAAUGAAAUUGAAUUCUCAUUACACUCUAGAUUGAAUUCUCAUUAUACUCAAUGUUUAAAAUCCUGGUUUAAAGUUUGACAACAAUGGGAGUUUGACAAAAUCUAAACAUCACAAAUCUUUUGUCUGUUUUGUCAAAAUUUAACAAAAUAAAUAAUUUUAAGGCUUUCCAGCAUCCAGCGCAUAAAUUCACUCUUAACAUAGUCAUAUACGUCCAAACAAAUUUUUUAAAGCCAAAUAGCAGUGCACAUGUAGACUACAAGAAAAUAUGUGAUUUGCUACGACAAUAUUUGUAGCUAAUUUGGAAUAAACGUUUUAGCUAGAAAUUUUAUAGGCAAUUAUUUCCUCGUAAAACCGUAGUUAAAAGAAAUUUAUUCCUAGCAAAUCCUUUGUUAAUCAACAUCAAACUAGUGUUCAAAAUGUAUUAUCCGUAGCAAUAUAACUAUGAUUUAUCAUAGCAAAUACGCAACAAAGCUGUAGCAGUAAUACGAAGGACUUUACAUAGUAAUUUCUUAGCAAAUCUACAACAAUAAAACUAUGCAAUAAUCAUAACAAUUCCAUACCAAAUCUACAGAUAAAAUUUAACUUCAAAAUUUUAAUUAGAGUUAGCAAUUAGGAGAUUUUCACCUAAUUUUUUUAAAGAAAUAAAUAUAUUUAAAUCACUACCAACAUAUAUUGACAUCAAUCUAAGUCGACCAAAGCUUACUAAUAAGUAUACAAAUCCAAAAAUUCAUAUCAACUAAGAAAAGAAAGGAUAAGUUAUACUAAGUAGUAUAAAUCUUGAAUUGUGAUAAUUUUAUUACAGUGAUGAUCAUGACCGUAAGAUUCAGUGUAAUCAAGGGUGUGGUAAGUCCAUUUCAAUAAAACCAGUGAUGAUACAUCUCAGUUUUCAGGCUGCAAAAGGAAAAUAAAAAAAACAACAAGUUUAACAGGGGAAUGACAUGAAUCUCUUGACAAAGAACUCAAUAGUAUAUGAAAAAAAAAACCACAGCAAAGAAUACUGAUACAUUCUAAAGCAGGAGGCACAAGACUAAGAUCACCAGUUCAUCCAUAAUAACUCAGGCGUCGUGUUCAUUUUAAUUAUUCUAGGCAUUCCUUUCAGGAUUUUAGCACAAAUGUAUCAACCAUUUGCAUUUAUGAAAUAAUCUUUACACGGUUAACACAAACUAACAUGUAUAUAGCAUGCACUUGUUAAUUAUAUGCUCAAUGAGUUAGAUAUAACUAAGGAAUAAUUCCAUCACACAUAUAGAAGACACAUGACACGACUCUAUUAAUUAUCUGCUCAAGGAUCUCUUAAAAAUUGAAAGUGAAACCUCUUUUACGACGGAAGAUUAAACAACAUAACAAUUAGCAUAGAAAAGUAAUGAUGACCUUGACAUGGAGUUGCUACAUUGACUUCCUUGCAGACUUUUUACUUUCUUUGAACUCAUCAACUGCUUGUAGAGCAGCUACAACCAUCCCAUGAGAUUUUUAUUUAUUUCCGUCUUCAAGAAUCAAAAAUAUUGAAGAGCUUCUAAAUUGUUCCUGCAUCAAAAAACACAUUUAGAAGAGAGUGAGUGAGUGAGUGAGAAACAGAAGGAAUAAUAGUAAUUUUACCUUACAAAUGAUCUCACUAUGAAAUCCUCCAAAAAAUAGAAGAUAAUCUUGGGGAAGGUAAUAUGAAUAUUUGUAACGAUGAUCCAUGCACCUCAAUGAUGUUGAUGUCUGCUAUUGUUUUCAAACUAAAGCAUUUCAAAUUGUUGAAUGAAAUAAAUAAAAACUCCAAUUGAGGAGAAAAUGAAGAAUUUCAUAUACUUUAAGGAAGAAAAUGAAGAAUUUCAUAUACUUUAGGACCAAAUUAAACUUCAACCAAUUCAUUAAGCACAAAACCGACUAAAGAAAAGGGAGAAGAAAUAGCACAGUAAAAGUAACUACUAGUACUCACUCACUAGAAUAUACAAUUUCUCUAGAGAUCUUCAUCUUCAUUGUAGUUCCUCUAUAUAUGUCCUCACUAGUGCAACUGAACUUGUUCUCAAUAGCCAGAGCUUUACCAGGUGUAACUUGAUUCAUAUGUAUCCUGAUCUCAUAUCAUCACCAAAUCAAAUACAAAAAUCCAAAAUCAAACACAAAACAAGAAAUAGUCUAUAGUCUCUAUCAUUCUCACAAAAUCAAACACAAACCUAACAAUACACAUGUUAUACGAUGAAGCACAUAUACGAAUACAGACACGAUACAGACAUUGACACGCCGACACCACUUAUAAUUUGAGAAAAUCACAUAAUUGUGAUUAUAUGUGUCAGUGUCAUACAAGAUAGAUGUGCGACACUAGGACACGCCUAAUCCAAGGAGUGUACGUGCUUCAUAGAUAUUAUAUUACAAAAUUCAAAUAAAAAAAAUUAGUUGCUUAAUCAUAAUAGACUUAACAUCAUAUCAUAUUAAUACAAAAAUCCAUGAAAAUUCAAUACCUUAAAUUGCGGCGAAGAAGCGAAAUGAACAAGUGAGAUCGAUUAUGAUGUGAACAAUUCAAAUUGAGAUCGAGAAUCAGUGAGAGUGAUUGUGCAAAUGAGAAUGAUUCUGAUUAUGAGGAACAACGAUUCAAUCGGUUAGGGAUUCUAUGAUGAAGGAUUCUGAUUAGGAAUUCAAUUGAUUUUGUGGAUGAGAGUUUUCAAUGGAUGAAUUCAAGGAAAAACGAUGCAUGACUUUGAUGGAGAAUUAGUUUUCGAUUUCGUGGAUGAGAUUGAUUUUCUAAAUUAAAGUUUUCAAUGAAGAACGAUUAAGGGUUCAACCGCUUUGAAUGAGAAUGAGAUAUUUGUAAUUUUAAGCUAAAAAAGGUAACUACACUAAAAAAUUGUGUAUUCCGGUAAAAACAAGGGUUAAUUUUAAUUGAGAUUUGCUACCAACACAGUUGAUAGUAAAAUAUUGGUAGCAAAUACUACAUUUUCUUGUAGUGGUAAUCUAAAGAAUUUUGUAGUCAACAAACAAAUUAAACGAGAGACAGAUCUUUUAACAACAAACAGACAAUGUAAAAACAAGGGUAUUUUUAAUUGAGAUUUGCUACCAACACAGUUGAUAGUAAAAUAUUUGUAGCAAAUACUACAUUUUCUUGUAGUGGUAAUCUGAUGAAUUUUGUAGUCAACAAACAAAUUAAACGACAGACAGAUCUUUUAACAACAAACAGACAAUUCACAAAACAUAGCAUAAACAUUUUCAUUUUUCAGGGUUUGGAAAAAUAUAAUGAUAUUAUAUCUUCAUCACCGUAAAUGCAUACAAAAGCUUGUUUACAUUUUUAGGUGCUCGCGGUUGUUGAAAUUUGGCUAAAAUAUGGUUUUAGUCCUUGCAAAUAUGUCUCGUUUUAGUUUUAGUCCCUGUAAAAAAAAAAAAUUUGUUUUUGAUCCCUGCAAAAAAUUUUGUUUUUGAAAAUAGUCCCUGGAGGGACUAUUUUCAAAAACAAAAAUUUUUGCAGGGACCUUUUAUAAAACCAAAAUAUUUUGCAGGGACCAAAAACUACAAAAUUGGUUCAGUUAUAAUGUGUCACGUAUGCAAAUCAUCACAAAAGUGGGGUCAGAGACUAUUUUCAAAAACAAAAAAUUUUGCAGGGACCAAAAACAAAUUUUUUUUUUACAGGGACUAAAACCAAAACGAGGUAUAUUUGCAGGGACUAAAACAUAUUUUAGCCUUGAAAUUUUAAACUGAAUGUACAUCUUGUUUGUUUUUCUCAAAAAUCAAUAAAACUAAUUUUAAAAUUUUGACAGUGUCAAGACAUUUCAUAAAAUCAUUUCGCAACACAAAGAAAAUAUCAAAACAACUUUCUUAUAUAUUUCGCAACACAUACGAGAUUUCAGUAAAAUCUACUACCAAUAUGUACUCAAACAAUAAAAAAAGACUAAAACAAAUAAAAAAACUCUAUAAUUAGCCAAUGCUAAACUAUGUGUUUUACAACAUAUAUCUUAAUAAUAUUUUAUAACAAAGUUUUAAAAACUUUAAUUAUUUUAUAUUUUUUAUCUUAAUAUAUAACUAAUGAAAUAUUCGUGCAUUCGCAGGAUUCUUCGACAAUUGUUAGAUAAUGAACAUUGUACCAGAAUUUUGUUAUUUAGUUUAUACUUCCUCUGUCUUAAAAUAAGUGAUUUUUUUAACCGUUGUACACAUGCGAAUGUACAUCUUUGACUUUUAAUAUCUCUAAUUAUGUAUUAGUAAAAAUUAUAAAAUUUUGAUAUUUUAAAAAUAUUUAUCGAGACGAAUCCAACAUCUUACAUGCUGAAAUUUUUUGUUAUAUAUUAAUAAAAAAAAAUAUGAUUGAAGUAUGUUGUAUGAAUACUAUUUGUGGUACUAUAACAAGUAACUUAUUUUGGGCGGGAGGAAUAGUUAGGGUUUGACUAGGGUCAUCAAAGACAUGCUGGGCAUUUCCCACCAAACUCCAACAGGGUCAAGUCAUGGACAACGCAGCCAGCAAUUGUGUGUAUUAUUGAAUUGAAUAUAAGCAUAAUGUUAAAAGUUUGAGUCAAACACGUGAUGUUCAGCUACCCUCUAAUGCACUCUACUCUCAACAUAUAAAACCUUAUCACCACAAACAUAUUUGCACCACAACACUCUUCAACCCUUUCCUUUACUACAACAAGUACUAAAACUCAUUUUGUUCAAAUUUUAGUACUUAUAUUUGCAACUAAAGAUAUCAAAAUGGUGAGUGUGUCUGAAAUUCGUAAUGCUCAAAGAGCAGAAGGUCCUGCAACUAUUUUGGCCAUUGGUACUGCAAAUCCAGCAAAUUGUGUUGAACAAAGCACAUAUCCUGAUUUUUACUUUAAAAUCACAAAUAGUGAACACAAAACUGAACUUAAGGAGAAAUUUCAGCGCAUGUGUAAGUAUUCUUCUCCUCUAUUUAUUAUUAUUUUGAUAUACUUGAGUAUAAAAAUAUUUUUAGAUACUUUACUUUUACAUUUAUUUCUCUAUUAUUUUUUAAAGCGAAUUGGACUAAAUGACACUUUUUUUGGUUCGUUCCUUUUCAAAUAUAUAUAUUCUUAAUAUAUUUUUUUUUUUUUGAAGGAAUGUAUUCUUAAUAUAUGAUCACCAUAGUUAAUUACUUAAAAUACGGUACAUAUGUCAUUAUCUGUAGAAGUCGUGAUAUUCAUAUUGCCUAGCAAAUUGAUAAACAUUAUUUACAUUAAAAGAUCAAUUAUUUUUUCGUCAAAAAAAUAAAUAAAGAGAAUAGUCAUUAUGUGAUUGGUUUUGUAUUAAUUACCCAAAAAUUAAUGUGCUAAUGUCAUUUCAUUAUAACCACUUCAGGUGAUAAAUCUAUGAUCAAGAGGAGAUACAUGUAUCUAACAGAGGAGAUUUUGAAAGAAAAUCCUAGUGUUUGUGAAUACAUGGCACCUUCAUUGGAUGCAAGGCAAGACAUGGUGGUGGUAGAGGUACCUAGACUAGGAAAGGAGGCUGCAGUGAAGGCUAUAAAAGAAUGGGGUCAACCAAAGUCAAAGAUUACUCACUUAAUCGUUUGCACCACAAGUGGUGUAGACAUGCCUGGAGCUGAUUAUCAACUCACAAAACUCUUGGGCCUUCGUCCAUAUGUGAAAAGGUAUAUGAUGUACCAACAAGGGUGUUUUGCAGGUGGCACGGUGCUUCGUUUGGCCAAAGAUUUGGCUGAGAACAACAAAGGUGCUCGUGUGUUGGUUGUUUGUUCUGAAGUCACCGCUGUCACAUUUCGUGGCCCCAGUGAUACUCACUUGGACAGCCUUGUUGGGCAAGCAUUGUUUGGAGAUGGAGCUGCUGCUCUUAUUGUUGGUUCUGACCCAGUACCAGAAAUUGAGAAACCUAUAUUUGAGAUGGUUUGGACUGCACAAACAAUUGCUCCUGAUAGUGAAGGAGCCAUUGAUGGUCACCUUCGUGAAGCUGGACUAACAUUUCACCUUCUUAAAGAUGUUCCUGGGAUUGUCUCAAAGAACAUUACUAAAGCAUUGGUUGAGGCUUUCGAGCCAUUGGGAAUUUCUGAUUACAACUCAAUCUUUUGGAUUGCACAUCCCGGUGGACCUGCAAUUCUAGAUCAAGUAGAGCAAAAGUUAGCCUUAAAGCCUGAAAAGAUGAAUGCAACUAGAGAAGUGCUCAGUGAAUAUGGAAAUAUGUCAAGUGCAUGUGUUUUGUUUAUCUUAGAUGAAAUGAGAAAGAAAUCAACUCAAAACGGAUUGAAGACAACGGGAGAAGGACUUGAGUGGGGUGUAUUAUUUGGUUUUGGACCAGGACUUACCAUUGAAACAGUUGUUUUGCGUAGUGUGACCAUAUGAGAUGUUUAAUAUUUUAUUUUCAUUUAUCGAUUUAUAAUUUGUUUAUCUUUUAUGUAUGGAUGUAAUUUCAUCUAGUGUUUAACAUGUACUAUCAUAUUAAAAUAAGAGAAUUGUGAUUACCUUUAUAUUCUAACAAUGGUUAUAUAUUUUACAAAACAUCAUUUAUAAUUAAAAACAAAGUCAUGUUAACAUAUUAAAGAUGUUGAAGGUGAUAAAAAUCUGAAUAAAGCCAAAAAAAAACAUGCAGAAGCAAUAAGAGAAAGAAAAGGGAAAAUAAUUUGGAUUAUAGUCACUGCUCAUUGUACUUCGCUCGACGUGAUCUUUGAUUGAUUGAUAAGAUUAGGUUGGCACUAACGUGUUUGUCUUUCCGCUUUUAUUAUCAAUGAAUGAUAAAAAUAGUAAAAGAUAAUUAGGUGAAGGGUAAAAUUGAAAGAAAAAUAUGUCAUAACAAUAUUCUCUGUAUAAGGUCAUAAUAAGGUUUUUUAUAGUGUCUAAUAGUAUUCCAAUUAUUUUGAAUUAUCCAUCCCAUUAUUGUUGAUUUUUCAUAUUUUAAUAGAAUUUAGCUAAUUUUAUAAAUGAUAAUUUAAAUAGAUAAUAAAAUAGGUUAAAUAAGAAAGUAGCUUUAAGACUCCAUGAUACAUCAGUGGAAGUUUAUUUUAAUAUCCCUACAAUUUAAUCAAUUAAAAUUGCGGGGCUCCUUCAAGAUGAGUCAAAACCCUAAAUUCAUAAUUAAAGUUUAUUAAAAGGAUUUAAUUAAGAAAAUAAGCAAUUUACUACAGUUAUUAUCAGACAUAAGUAGGGUUAUCUAUCCUAUAAUUUAUCUAUAGAUCAGUUUUCAAGAUCACCGAUUCGGAUUCUCAUAUACAAAUUAAAUCUAACAAUCGAAACAUAAACUAAAUGAAAAAAUUUAUCAAUUGAAUCCAACAAAUAAGAAUGGGUUCAUCGUAGAAUCCUAAUCAAAGAGGUUUAGUUGCACAUGACAACCGACAUCAUUACAAAACAAUUGAAAAACAUACCCUAGAGAGAACAAGAGGAGGAUGGAGAUCUUAUACCUUGAAACUCCUUAUGUUUGACUCUUGCCUUGUACCACUAGCUUUCUCAAUGCUUUUCGGAAUGAAUAAAAAUGUGUGCAAGAGUCUCUGUUUAUAGUACAUCAUUACUUAGGGGUUAAGAGGUGAAAAUUUGGGUUUUCCACUAAAAACAACUUGGAAAACAAGCAAAAGUCACCUCCUGUCUGUCAACCAAGUGUGGGGCGCAUGAAGUGAGGCGCAUGGGGCAUCAAGGAAUGUUGUCUCAUGCGCAGCGGCGCAUGGCCCAUGCAUAGGGGCGCAUGAAGCAGUGCCUUCAAUGCGAAUUUUGCAUUUUCAUCCCUUUUUUGAUCCCUUUUUCUUCAUCUUGUAUUGUCUUCAAAAAUCUUCUAAGAACCAUUUAUGUUCAAUCCUCAUAUCCUUGAUCCUUCACUUGAUGUUUAUUUUUGCCGAUUUACAUGAUUUAUCACUAAAAAGACUCAAAACACCUAUGGAGUUGCAUGCUAUAAGAUAAAAGUGAAUUACAACGACUCAAAUGAAAACAAUACAAAUAGUUCCUUAGACCAUUAACAACUUCUCUAAAUUAUUUGCCUUCAAAUGCAAAGAAAAUAAUUAAAAAACUAGCCUUAAUUUUCAUAUGAUGCUCCGUCAUCACAUGCAUAAAUUAUAUGCCUAAGAAUUUCCAUAUGCCAAGCACGUGUUGGGCCAUGAAUAAUUGCAACUUGUGAUUGGAGCACACCAAAUGUCUGUUCCAGGUCUUUUCUUGCCGAUUCUUGAUUUUGAGCAAAUAGUUUUCUUUUUUCUCCCUGCGACAUUGGAAUGGUCUUGACAAAUGUAGCUCACUCGAAAUAUAUAUCGUCUGCUAGAUGGUACCCCCAUAUUAUAUGGAGUUCUACUGACUAUAUAUUGUAUUGUGGGUGCCUGUCCUUCCAAAAUAUCGUUAAACAUGUUGGAUUGGUUUAACACAUUAAUGUCAUUGUUUGAACCUGCUGCAAUGCCAAAAAAUGCAUGUCAAAUCCACAAGUCUUGUGAUGCCGCUGCUUCAAGCAUGAUCGUGGGUUUUACCAUGAUCACCUCGACAAAACUGGCAUGUCCAAGCAACCAGGCACUAUUUCCAUUCCCAAUGCAUACAAUCAAUGUAACCUAAAAUACCUAGAAAGCCGCAUAACUCACCUAUUUGUAAUAAGUUAUCAACAUCAUUGUUAUUUGCCCUUCGUACGUACUCAACCCCAAAUACCUUGUUCACACCUUUUACAAAUUUGUCUAAGCAUUCAACCGGCGUGUUUUCUCCAAUUUGAACAUAUUCAUCUACAAUAUCAACAUGAGAUUCAUAUACCAGCAUAUGAAUAGUAGCAGUAAAUUUCUACAAUGGUAAAAGAUAAAUUUUAAAAGUUGAAUCAAGCCUAAUUUGAAAAUAAUCAUUAUAAUGUCCAAGAAAUGUUAAAAUUAUAAGAGAUAAAAUUGUGAGAAAAAAAGUUGAGUGAAAUAUUUUUUGAAUGAACACAAUUUAUAAGUAAAAAAAGAUGGUAAAGAAAUAAAAGAAGAUGUGAUUUGUACAUAACAUUUUUUAUGUAUAAAAUGGUAACAUGUUUAAGCAUUUUUUAAUCAAGUGACUAUUACUUCACCAAGUGACGGGGAUUACAUGUUGGAGUACUCCAUUCAAAAUUAAUGUAAAAUUCCAUUCUUUUAUGAUGAUAGGUAAUGUACGUUAUAAAAAAAAAAAGCAACCGUUGGAGUUGCUUUAUAUAUUUAUUUGAUAGUUAAAGUCGACAUUUGAAGUCAACUUUAACUAUCAAGCAAAGAUGUCAACGAAUUUGCCCCGAUAUUUUAAUAGAUAGUUUACAAAAUAAUUGAAAAAAUGGUUAGACCAAGGAGGGUCUUCAAAGACAUGCGGGGUAUCUCCCACCUAACUCAAAAAUGAUCAAUCAUGGAUAUUAGAAACACACCAUUAUUGAAUAUAUAUAAAAUAGCAUCUGCAUAAUGCAAGUGUUUUAGUCAAACACGUGAUGUUCAGCUACCCUCCAAUAUCCCCACUCAUGCUCAGCUCCCAUCAUAUAAAAACCAUCUCACCCAAACAUCUUUGCACCACAACACACCAACACACUUUAACCCAUUCCUUUUCUACAACAAGUACUGAAAACUCAUUGUGUUCAAAUUUCAGUACUUCAUUUUAUACCAAAGAUAUAUCAAGAAUAUGGUGAGUGUGUCUGAAAUUCGUAAGGCUCAAAGAGCAGAAGGUCCUGCAACCAUUUUGGCCAUUGGUACUGCAAAUCCAGCAAAUUGUGUUGAACAAAGCACAUAUCCUGAUUUUUACUUUAAAAUUACAAAUAGUGAACACAAAGUUGAACUCAAAGAGAAAUUUCAGCGCAUGUGUAAGUAUUCUUCUCCUCUAUUUAUUAUUUUGAUAUACUUGAGUAUAUAAAUAUUUUUAGAUACUUUUCGUUUACAUUUAUCUCUAGUAUUUUUUAAUGUGAUGACGAUAGUUAAAUUACUAAAAAUACGGUACAAAUGUCAUUAUUUGUAGAAAUCGCUCAUGAUAUUAGUAUUGCCAACCAUAUUUAUAUACAUUACUUGCAUUAAGAAAUCAAUUAUUAUUUGUCCAAAAAAUAGAGACCAGUCAUUAUCUGAUUGGUUAUAUAGUAUAUAUUACACAAAAAUUGAUGUGCUAAUGCCAUUUCAUUAUAACUACUUCAGGUGAUAAAUCUAUGAUCAAGAGGAGAUACAUGUAUCUAACAGAAGAAAUUUUGAAAGAAAAUCCUAGUGUUUGUGAAUACAUGGCCCCUUCAUUGGAUGCUAGGCAAGACAUGGUGGUGGUAGAGGUACCUAGACUAGGGAAGGAGGCUGCAGUGAAGGCUAUAAAAGAAUGGGGUCAACCAAAGUCAAAGAUUACUCACUUAAUCGUUUGCACCACAAGUGGUGUUGACAUGCCUGGAGCAGAUUAUCAACUCACCAAACUAUUAGGUCUUCGCCCAUAUGUGAAAAGAUACAUGAUGUACC
rnacentral:lncRNA from 1 species